UUGGCUUAGAAGCAGCCAUCCUUGAAAGAGUGCGUAAUAGCUCACUGGUCAAGUGGUUCUGCGCCGACAAUGUAGCGGGGCUCAAGCGUACCGCCGAAGCUGUGGCAACAACACGUGAUACUGGCGCCAGGAACUGGAUGUUGGUGUGUUGUUGGGUAGGGGAGCGUCCUGCACGAGGUGAAGCCUGGAGGGAACUUCUGGUGGAUUGUGUGGGAGUGAGAAUGCAGGCAUGAGUAACGAAUCUGCGGUGAGAAUCCGCAGCGCCGAUUGACUAAGGGUUCCAGGGCUAGGUUUAUCCGCCCUGGGUUAGUCGGGUCCUAAGGCGAGGCCGACAGGCGUAGUCGAUGGACAACCAGUUGAUAUUCUGGUACCGCGUUAUGACCGCCCAUGCUGAAGUCAUUGUGCUAACCAAUUUGCUCACGCCACUUGUAAGCCUUCGGGUUUGUGGGUGUGUGUGGGUCUUGGGGCCCCGGUGAUUGUAGGCAAGCGUGUUAACAGGGGUGACGCAGACAGGUAGCUGCAGUGCGCCGAUGGUUGUGCGUAUUUAAGGUUGUGGCCCGCCUCCCAGGCAAAUCCGGGGGGCAUGUGGGUGAGAACUGAUGAGGGACACACGCGUGUGUGGACUUGUGGUGAUCCUAAGCUGCCGAGAAAAGCCUCGACGUGAGGGCAUAACGCGCCCGUACCCUAAACCGACUCAGGUGGUCAGGUAGAGUAUACCGAGGCGUUCGAGUGAAUCGUGGUUAAGGAACUCGGCAAAAUUCCUCCGUAACUUCGGGAUAAGGAGGACCCCGUGACUUCCCAGUGUCUUGCGUGCUGGUGGGGUUGUGGGGUCGCAGAGAAUAGGGAGAAGCGACUGUUUAUCAAAAACACAGGUGCGUGCGAAGCCGUAAGGCGAUGUAUACGCACUGACGCCUGCCCGGUGCUGGAAGGUUAAGAGGAACCGUCAACACUCCUUGUGGGUGUGAAGCGGUGAAUUUAAGCCCCAGUAAACGGCGGUGGUAACUAUAACCAUCCUAAGGUAGCGAAAUUCCUUGUCGGGUAAGUUCCGACCUGCACGAAUGGCGUAACGACUUCUCCGCUGUCUCAACCGCGAACUCGGUGAAAUUGCAGUACGAGUAAAGAUGCUCGUUUCGCGCAGAAGGACGGAAAGACCCCGGGACCUUUACUAUAGCUUGGUAUUGGUGUUCGCUUGGACUUGUGUAGGAUAGGUGGGAGACUGUGAAGCUGCCGCGCCAGCGGUGGUGGAGUCGUCGUUGAAAUACCAUUCUGGUUCAAGCGGUCACCUUAACCUUGGCCCGUGAUCCGGGUUGGGGACAGUGCCUGGUGGGUAGUUUAACUGGGGCGGUUGCCUCCUAAAAUGUAACGGAGGCGCUCAAAGGUUCCCUCAGCCUGGUUGGUAAUCAGGUGGCGAGUGCAAGUGUACAAGGGAGCUUGACUGUGAGACCGACGGGUCGAGCAGGUGCGAAAGCAGGAACUAGUGAUCCGGCCAUGGCACGUGGGUGCGUGGUCGCUCAACGGAUAAAAGGUACCCCGGGGAUAACAGGCUGAUCUUGCCCAAGAGUCCAUAUCGACGGCAUGGUUUGGCACCUCGAUGUCGGCUCGUCGCAUCCUGGGGCUGGAGUCGGUCCCAAGGGUUGGGCUGUUCGCCCAUUAAAGCGGUACGCGAGCUGGGUUCAGAACGUCGUGAGACAGUUCGGUCCCUAUCCUCUGUGCGCGCAGGAAAUUUGAGAAGGGCCGUCCCUAGUACGAGAGGACCGGGAUGGACGAACCUCUGGUGUGCCAGUUGUACCGCCAGGUGCAUGGCUGGUUAGCUACGUUCGGAAGGGAUAACCGCUGAAAGCAUCUAAGCGGGAAGCCUGCU
rnacentral:rRNA from 1 species